AUGUCAACAUGAUCAGAGGGGAGGGAGCAGGCAGCGACGGGGAGGGCGGCCGGGAGCACCCGCCUCUAAACUGGAUGUGGGGGGGUUGUUCUGGGGGCUGCUGAUCCCCCCCCCUCCUCCUUCCAUCCACCACCCUCCAAGCCCCGGCUCUGGCCUCCCGCGGCCCCGGCGAGAUGGCAGCCUGGGCAUUUCCAGGGCGUUCUCCUCCGGCUGCCGGCCCCGAGCCCACAGCAAACACCCGGCGACUUCAAGAACUUUACGGCAAUUUACCUCAGGCGGGCCGCCGUUUUUCUCCCGGGGAACCAGGAGCUGCCCUCGGGGUCCCGCAGGACAAGCGCAGCCGCUCCCCGCCCCGCCUCGCCCCGACCCCCCGCGCCCGCCCCGCCGGAGCGCGCCCUUGGCGCCGCGGCAGCGCCCGGACUCGUUACCGCCCUCCGAGACUUCCCCGCACCUUGCACCGCGCUCGGCACCCACAGCGCGCAGCGGCCCGCGGGAAGGGAAAUAAAAUCGUUUGCCGCUUAU